rnacentral:snoRNA from 2 species
CGUCUGAUAGCCGCCGUGUAGUAACGUAUCGCUUGUGAGUGCCGUGGAUGGAUUGUGGAUAGUGCCGGAAGUGGUAGGCUGAGG